rnacentral:rRNA from 1 species
UACAGAGGUCUCAAGCGUUGUUCGGAAUUACUGGGCGUAAAGGGUGCGCAGGCCGCGCGGGCAGUCAAAUGUGUAAUUCAGGGGCUCAACCUCUGGACUGCGCUUGAUACUUCCGCGCUCGAACCUUGGAGAGGGAUCUGGAAUUCUCGGUGUAGCAGUGAAAUGCGUGGAUAUCGAGAAGAACACCUAGGGCGAAAGCAAGAUCCUGGACAAGUGUUGACGCUCAUGCACGAAGGCUAGGGUAGCGAAC